rnacentral:rRNA from 1 species
GACGAACGCUGGCGGCGUGCUUAACACAUGCAAGUCGAACGGAAAGGCCCUGCUUGUGUGGGGUGCUCGAGUGGCGAACGGGUGAGUAACACGUGAGUAACCUGCCCUUGACUUUGGGAUAACUUCAGGAAACUGGGGCUAAUACCGGAUAGGAGCUCCUGCUGCAUGGUGGGGGUUGGAAAGUUUCGGCGGUUGGGGAUGGACUCGCGGCUUAUCAGCUUGUUGGUGGGGUAGUGGCUUACCAAGGCUUUGACGGGUAGCCGGCCUGAGAGGGUGACCGGCCACAUUGGGACUGAGAUACGGCCCAGACUCCUACGGGAGGCAGCAGUGGGGAAUAUUGCACAAUGGGCGGAAGCCUGAUGCAGCAACGCCGCGUGCGGGAUGACGGCCUUCGGGUUGUAAACCGCUUUCGCCUGUGACGAAGCGUGAGUGACGGUAAUGGGUAAAGAAGCACCGGCUAACUACGUG